UUUCUCUGGAGCUUCCUGCCUCUUGGAGGUCUUCUAAGGAUUUUACUAAGAAAAAAAUGUUCUCGUGGAGCUGUUCUGAAGAAAUAAGUUUUUUUUUAAAGAAAGAGGAGGACAGCUUCCUUUUUCAUCAGUUGAAUCCUUGGGCAAAAAUCGAUAAAUCAUAAAAUUAUUAACAAAAGCCAAUGUAUCAGAGUGUGCAGCACAACUAAUAGUUUAUAAGCUUUCUUUUAUAAACGUCCAUAACUGACAUAGCUCUGCUACUCAGAGUGACUAUGGAACUCAGAGAUGUUCUUCUGCCUCUAGGUACUUAUGACAGCCCAUCUCAAGCUGCAAAGAAUCCUUAGGGCAGGCAGCGCUAUUAGAUGAGGCAGCAGGAAUUUUGAUACAGGCAAAAUGAAGAAUGUGCAUCAGAGAUAUUUCAGCAGUUUUUCUUGGGAAUCCCACCAGGAUCAGGUAGACCUGUCAUCUCUAUCUGUGCCAUGUUAGAACUGAUUAUACAGAUUCACCAAUCUUCCACUUGCCUCCUGGUUGCAGAAGGGUUAUCAGACUGCUUUAGCCCUGUGGUGACCCCAAAUCCAGGCCCAGGCUAGUUCUGCACUGAACCUAAUAAGCCCUGCUGCUAGAGCACUCAGUACAGAGCAAGGAGCCUCACUGAGGAUUCCAAGCAGCCACUCUGGGUCCAGCAAGAAGAGUUCUGAGCCAGAGUUAACAAGCUCAGCUGACCUUGGAGUAACUCAUUAUAGAGAACUGGAAAGUUUCUGCGGUGACCUGCACAUCUAUACCUUUUGGAGGUCAAGUGUAUUUUGGCUCAGAAUAAUGAAGAGCUGGAUACAUGCAUGGGGUCUUGAUUCUGUUGCAUUUUCCUUUUAAUACUCUGGAUAGUAUUUUAGAUUUCUUUAUGGAAGUCCUAAUGCCUGAAAUUACUUUUUUUUUUUCAGACAGUACUUAAUUUUUCUUAUUCUUGUCUUUUUGUUUGACCUGAAAAGCAAUUUCUUCUUUCUGUUAUAGUCCAGCAAGUUCAAAUCAUGCUAGAUAGCCCAGAGCAACAAACAUGAAAACCCUACAUUUCUCAUUUAAAAAACAUAGUUUAAAUUAAAAAUGUGGAUAU
ensembl:lncRNA